GGGUGUAGCUCAGUAAUAGAGUGUGUGCCUAGCAUGCAUGAGGUCCUGGGUUCAAUUCCCAGUAUCUCCA
rnacentral:tRNA from 1 species